rnacentral:rRNA from 1 species
AGAGUUUGAUCCUGGCUCAGAACGAACGCUAGCGGCGUGCUUCAAACAUGCAAGUCGUACGCGAAAGGGACUUCGGUCCUGAGUAGAGUGGCGCACGGGUGAGUAACACGUAGUUAACAUUCCCUCUCGCUGGGGAUAACUCCGGGAAACCGGAGCUAAUACCGAAUGAUCUGUCGGAGCCUGCGGGCUCUUCCGGUAAGGCCGUAAGGCGCGAGAGGAUUGGGCUGCGUUCCAUUAGCUAGUUGGCGGGGUAACGGCCCACCAAGGCUACGAUGGAUAGCUGGUCUGAGAGGAUGAUCAGCCACACUGGAACUGACACACGGUCCAGACUCCCACGGGAGGCAGCAGUUGGGAAUAUUGGACAAUGGGGGCAACCCUGAUCCAGCGACGCCGCGUGAGUGAUGAAGGCCUUCGGGUCGUAAAGCUCUUUUAGUGGGGAAAAAGGGAAACUUGAUGGUACCCACAGAAAAAGCACCGGCUAACUCUGUGCCAGCAGCCGCGGUAAUACAGAGGGUGCAAGCGUUGUUCGGAAUUAUUGGGCGUAAAGCGCGUGUAGGCGGCCAUCUAAGUCUGGUGUGAGAUCCCUCGGCUCAACCGAGGAAGUGCAUUGGAUACUAGAUGGCUAGAGGAUGAGAGAGGAGAGUGGAAUUCCCGGUGUAGGGGUGAAAUCCGUAGAUAUCGGGAGGAACACCAGAGGCGAAGGCGGCUCUCUGGCUCAUUUCUGACGCUGAGACGCGAAAGCGUGGGGAGCAAACAGGAUUAGAUACCCUGGUAGUCCACGCCCUAAACGAUGGAUACUAGUCGUCGGAGUUCCUAAUCGCUCCGGUGACGAAGCUAACGCAUUAAGUAUCCCGCCUGGGAAGUACGGUCGCAAGAUUAAAACUCAAAGGAAUUGACGGGGGCCCGCACAAGCGGUGGAGCAUGUGGUUUAAUUCGAUCUACGCGAAGAACCUUACCCAGACUUGACAUCCCGCGCAUAGCCGUGAAAGCGGUGAAUUCCCUUCGGGGACGCGGUGACAGGUGCUGCAUGGCUGUCGUCAGCUCGUGUUGUGAGAUGUUGGGUUAAGUCCCGCAACGAGCGCAACCCUCGUCGCUAGUUACCAUCAUUAAGUUGGGCACUCUAGCGAGACCGCUGAGCUAUAAGCCAGAGGAAGGUGGGGAUGACGUCAAGUCCUCAUGGCCCUUAUGCCUGGGGCUACACACGUGCUACAAUGGAAAGGACAAUGCGUUGCAAGCCGGCGACGGCAAGCU